GGUCGGGACCUGCAAGGGUCUUGCUGUGAACUCCGCCAGGUCCGGGAGGAAGCAACGGUAGCGCCUGCUUCAUGUGUCGGGUCCCGGCCAAC
rnacentral:SRP_RNA from 1 species